rnacentral:tRNA from 1 species
UUAUUUUCAAUGGAAUUAACCGGAUUGCAAAUCCGUGAAGACCGGUUCGAUUCCGGUACCCGCCUCCA